UUUAUUGUUGUCUUCUUCCCAACUUGUCUUCAACCUUAGUUUGUACUCUCAAUCAUCAUUGUGAAGCAGAAACUUACAUUCUCCAACGUUAAUUGUGUUGUGCUAUUAACGUUGAGCUCUAUCCUGUUGGAUUUGAACUCUAGUCACGAGAAGAAUGGAACAAAAAUGGAAAGAAAUAAAUACUUUAUUGGAUUACAAUCGGUGCAGAUUUGUUGUUUUGUACCUGCCUGUGGAGAUGCAGCUCAUCAUAGAGGUUGCCGCCACUCUUCUUGCAUCAAUAGGAAUGUCCAUCAAUGGUGAUUUUUCAC
rnacentral:lncRNA from 1 species